rnacentral:rRNA from 1 species
UACGUAGGGUGCAAGCGUUUAAUCGGAGUUACUGGGCGUAAAGCGUGCGCAGGCGGCUUUGCAAGACAGAUGUGAAAUCCCCAGGCUCAACUUGGGAACUGCAUCCGAUACUGGUCGGCUUGAAUCCGGGAGAGGGAUGCAGAAUUCCAGGUGUAGCGGUGAAAUGCGUAGAUAUCUGGAGGAAUACCGGUGGCGAAGGCGGCAUCCUGGACCGGCAUUGACGCUGAUGUGCGAAAGCGUGGGGAGCAAACAGG